rfam:Zea mays cultivar B73 chromosome 9, whole genome shotgun sequence.
GAUUGGCAGGAGUGGUCAAUUAGAUGUGCGAAGUGACCUUAUGAGUUGAGCCUUGAGGCCUAAUUGUGUUUGAUUUGCCAAUU